UUUUCAAACCAUAUUUGCAUAUCCCCGCCCCUCAACCCGCCGAGGACCGUUCCCACAGCCCAUUGGGCCGCUACCUCCUUACUUCAGUCCCAAUCAUGGAGCAGGGCCGCGACUUGCUGGUUUCCAUUGGCUGCCGUGCAUCAUGGUUACCGGGGCGACAGGGACCCUAUUUGCAUAGGCCUCCUUGAUUGGCUGGCAGAAGAGCAGUUUUUAGGGGGUGGGGCAAAGAAUUUCCUUCUCUCCCACGGAAGACCACGCCUGGCCUAGGCUCCGCCCCUGUCCCCGCCCGCCCGCCGGGCCGGCGCUACUGACCUGGGCAGGGACUCCGCGCCCCGCAGACUCAGUGUAGAUCUAGUCUAGAGCCCAAGUUUCGCUUUUGGAAAUUGUCAAGGUGACUAAGGGAACACUCUUUCCUUUGACCAGUCAGUGCAAUAAACGAACAGCGCAGGAGAUUUUUCCAGAUACGUGCCAAAGGCAAGUUGGACCAUGCGGACGAUGUCUGGCAGGUGCAAAAGGAGCCCUUUAAAUCGUGGGCUUCUCCCUUCCUGAAAUCCAACCAAUGACGCGGCGAGAGCUGAUCCCGAGGCCGGGGCUGAUAGACAGAAGCAUGUGGGCAGACAGAAUCGUGGGGGCAGAAGGUUCAGCAGACGCGAUUGCGGGCACCAGUUAACAUUCCAGAUCAUUCCCGGUACCUUCAUUAUUAGCCUGGAUAGGGGUAAAGUACAAAUUAACUCUUUUGUCUUACAACGGAUAUUGGUUUGAAUCCAGCAGACAUUCCCUCUGGCCCAGAAACACCCAGGGCAGUUAAUCAGGGCUAACCUAGAACUGAUCUACGGGUUUCUAAUCCGCCAAGCAGUAAUCCGAAAAAGUACACGCUUCCCACGAUGACGUCGUGCCCCCAACGAACGCAGGCACGCCCAGGCAUCAGCACUUUAUAUCUUCAGUUUUGUAGGAAGUUCUCUGACUGGAAGCAAACACAACGACUCAAACCUAUCCCAAAGUAUUUUUAAAAUAGUGUCUUUUUUUAAAAAGUAAACUAGAAAUUGUCAUCAGAAAAAUAUAAAAUGAUGUGU
rnacentral:lncRNA from 1 species